rnacentral:rRNA from 1 species
AACGUAGGUUCCGAGCGUUAUCCGGAUUUACUGGGCGUAAAGCGCGUUCAGGCGGUUUGGCAAGUCGGGCAUGAAAUCUCUCGGCUCAACCGGGAGAGGUUGUCCGAUACUGCUGGACUUGAGGGCAGUAGAGGGUGGUGGAAUUCCGGGUGUAGUGGUGAAAUGCGUAGAUAUCUGGAGGAACACCGGUGGCGAAGGCGGCAUCCUGGGCCGGUAUUGACGCUGAGGAGCGAAAGCCAGGGGAGCAAACGGG